GACGUAGGGUGCAAGCGUUGUCCGGAUUUAUUGGGCGUAAAGAGCUCGUAGGCGGCUUGUUGCGUCGACUGUGAAAACCCGCGGCUUAACCGCGGGCUUGCAGUUGAUACGGGCAGACUUGAGUUCGGUAGGGGAGACUGGAAUUCCUGGUGUAGCGGUGAAAUGCGCAGAUAUCAGGAGGAACACCGGUGGCGAAGGCGGGUCUCUGGGCCGAUACUGACGCUGAGGAGCGAAAGCGUGGGGAGCGAACAGG
rnacentral:rRNA from 1 species